AGACUCACUUUGGUGGGCUUGUCUUCUUGGUUUCCUCACUCCUGGUGCUAAUCAGAGUUGAUGAGACAGGAAGAAAGAAAGUGGCAAGGACUGCUAAAUCUGAAUCUCUCCUGUGAAGCUUGGAGGAGCACUGAAGUUAUUUUAAACAAGGUUUCUCAGCCUAAAUCCUCUGCUUGAGGAGAGUGGGCCUGGAGGGGAAUGAAGAGGGAGGAAGGAAAUAUGUUUCUUCUUCAGGAGAAUUGCUAGCUGCUCGUAAAUUUUAAGGGAAGUUAUUAUUUUCAGCAUGAACACUUGAUCGUCAGAAGAAUGAAUGAGACCUCUUAACAAACCCUUGCUCUUUUGUAUUUCAAAGAACUGUGCAAAAGUUUCACUAUUUUGGAGUUGGGAAAACAGCAGAGAAAGGUGAAGAGCUUGUCUAGAGCAUCGCAACAGGUCCAAAGUACCGUAUUCUGUACCCUUCCCAUAGCCUGGUGCAUCCCAACAUCACUGUGUUGGAGCUGCAUUUUAUGCAUGUUGUAUCCUUUGACGUGUCACAGAGAUCUGCAGGAUGAGAGAACACCUUGCA